AACCACACUAUUAAUAAAUGGAUUCACCCGCGAGAUGACGUGGUUGUUUCACCUAGGACGAGGAUGUGGCAUCAUAUUACCAGCCAUCGCACGAAAUUAAUAUGCCACAUCCUCAUCAUAGAUGGAACAAUCACAUCAUCUCACGGGUGAAUCCAUUCAUUGACAGUGUGAUU
rfam:Oryza meridionalis cultivar OR44 (W2112) chromosome 6, whole genome shotgun sequence.